rnacentral:rRNA from 1 species
GUAUCCUAAGGCGAGGCCGAAAGGCGUAGUCGAUGGCAAACAGGUUAAUAUUCCUGUACUUCCUUAGCUGCGAUGGGAGGACGGAGAAGGUUAGACCAGCCACCUGUUGGAUGGUGGUUUAAGCGCAAAGGAGUGCACUCUAGGCAAAUCCGGAGUGAUUAUCUGAAGCGUGAUGACGAGUCUCUUUUGAGACGAAGUGGUUGAUACCAUGCUUCCAAGAAAAGUCCCUAAGCUUCAGGCAAAAGGAAUCCGUACCCCAAACCGACACAGGUGGGCGAG